CAGAUUCUUCAAUCCUCCGAUUUCUUUUGAUUUUAUAAGAAUUCCCUUUUGAUCUAAAGUAGAGUUCCCUUUGGAUUUUCGAUUUUAUAAGAAUUCUUCAAUCUUCCGAUUUCUUUUGAAACGCCUGAGACGAAGAAACUGGUGACAAACUAUGGAUACCUCCCGAGAGAUCCAACUUUCGUCUCCGUGUCAAGAAAGAAAACAAGUUAAUCUAGAAACAGACAUCUUUGCUUGGCCUGCGGAAUCUCCAUCUUCGGCAGCGGCGGCUCUGACCGGCUUGAUAAUAUCUAUUUUCUCUGGCCAUCUAUCGCGUAGAGAUGCGAUCCAUUUUUAGGGUUUUCUGAUUCUUCGAUCUAAAGGAGACAAAACUGCUUAAAUCGGCGUGACACUUCAGUUUGUAAAGGGUUUCGAUCACGUCCUUACACCAAUCUGAACAAAUUCUUCCAGAUUCAUCGCAUUAAAAAGGAUUCGGACAUGGUGAAGAUCGCUCCUAGAAAUCCAGAAAGAACAGGAGAGAGACCAUGAUCAAGGAGAGAAUCAGAAACUGAGUCUAUAUCAAGCCUUUAGUCUAAAGACCCUCCUUGCAGAUUAUCUGCUUCUGAUAGCUUACAAAGAUACACAAAUCUCCUAACACCAUCUUAUGUACACACAAAAAAAAUCUCUGCUCUGUUUGGUAUCGACUAUCUGAGUCACCCUUUGCUUAUAGUUAAAUGUAUGAUUAAUAAGAAGGCCAUUUUCUGCAUCCCAAGGAUCGGGUGACUCAUCAUCAUCAUUCCCUUACUUUAUUGAACUAAAUUGUUUCAUGAUAUCUCAUACUAAAGACUAUUGCAGAUAGAAUAAGCGGGUGUGUUCGAAUGCGCAUAGUGGCUUUGAUAGUUUCUGCCUUUGAGUUAUCUUCCCUUAAGUGUCGUUACUGUGCUUCAGUGUCAACUUAUAUCGUUUGGGGACACUCAGAUCUCUUUAUUUCCAUUCACGUUCUUAGUAAGACCUUAUUGUGUCUAAUUUAUGAGCUUCUUACUGAGGCUUUUCUGGACUUUAAGCUACUGAUGAAUCUCAUGUGUAUUUGUGCUUCUAAAAUUGGAAUGUAUUCCUCUUGAGUUUUUGUGAAUCGAUUUAAAUGUUAUUGGUCAUAAUUGGAUCGGUAUUACAUUGCCCUUCAACGAAUCGUAAUUCACAAUGUGAACAUACAUACGUUUGUGAACAUACAUACAUACAAAUUGUGAAGCAUUCAUAGUCUUCUCUAUUAUUCCAGCCUCCACAAUAAGACUUUCUCAAGUAAUGAAGUGUUACGAUCUUUUUUUUGCAGCUACAUACGUUUGAGUUGCUAUUAUAGUUAAUGUGCACAUUAAGAUAAUGCAGAGAUGAAUGUCUGAAUCUCAGUUUUCAGUUGCAAAAGCUGAGGAAGAUAAUGAUUAAAAGCAUAAACCAUCAACUCAGGCUCUCAGCUAUCAUAAUGUUUCUCAGUCUCAAUCUGUUCAUUCAUAGCAGGAAUUCUGAGUAGUUAUACCAAGACCUAAGCUUUUACCAGGCUUACAUGUUCAAAGCACCUAUGGUUACAGUAAAAAAUGGUUCUUCCUCUCGGUAUGGUCUCAUGCUCAACUGACAUUAGCCUCCCACUGUGUCAUAAACAGCUACGUGGUAACAAUGCAGCCAGUAUCCGCAAUGUGUGAUUGGCAAGUUUGGGCAUACCUGCAAAUUUGUUCACUCCAUGAGCUCUUAUUCUUCUUCCUUAAGCUACAGCCCGAUGGUUUCUUCAGUCAUUGACAUGCCCCUCACACCUUACCCUCUUGAGUCCUCAUUGCUCAGCACAUUAGCACCCUCUUGAGUCCUCAUUGCUCAGCACAUUAGCUCCAUCAUCAUCAUCCUCAGAUGAAAACGCACAGAGCUUCACUCUUCGAGCUCCAAGAAAACUCAAAACCACAACACAAGUGGUGGCUCUGAACCGUUGCUGCUGAAGUCUCUCCGGCUUCUUCUUUGACAACCAGCCUGAGCCAUUCUGAUCCUGCUAAGACCAAAAAGAAUACCCAGUUAGCAUUGAGUUUAAGACUUAGAAGUUAAAGAUACAAAGCUCAAAAGGGAGAACCUCACUCUACUUCUUCUAUUGUUCCUCUAUUGCUCUUUUCUUUAAAUCAAACUUGCAUGAACUGAGGACAUGAAAGAUGUCUAUAAACUAUAAACAUGUUUGGGACCAAGUAAGAUAGAUUGAACUAUAAUGAGUUUUUUUUUUAAUAUAUGAAAAAAAGGAACUAAAAAUAUUUGUGUAUAGCUUUGAUAAAAAAACUGAUCAUUGUAAUUUUUUAUGCAUAGCUCUUGCAUUUCGUUAA